GGUCCCAUCGUCUAGUGGCCUAGGACACUGGCCUCUCACGCCGGAGACACGGGUUCGACUCCCGUUGGGACUA
rfam:Candidatus Schekmanbacteria bacterium GWA2_38_11 gwa2_scaffold_8413, whole genome shotgun sequence.